CCUGCCAUGUAGGGGCCACACCUAAAACAAACAGCCUUCUGUGGAAAGGGCCUUCUCGGAGUUCAGAGCUACCGUGAAAAGGGAGGACACCAGUGGAGAAAUCUUUUCCUCAGCCAUUUGAAAUGGAUGAACUGCACAUAGGCCUACACUCACAUUCUGUUGGAAGCUUUUAAAUAGAUAAUUCUAGAAAGUCAUUCUGUACUUGACAACUGUAUGUGAUGAAAAGUCACUCUUUUCCCCAGUUCAUAUCCUUCAGCAUUGAGGGAGGGGCCUAUCACAAAAGCAUCAGAAGAACAUUUGCCCUCUAGAGGCCUGAUGGAACUUCCUGCCUCAAAGUGAAGACGUUGAUGGAGAAAUAAUCUUGUGGUUCAGAGCAGCAGGUGGGAAAAGAGGAAGGAUGGGGGGGCCACCCAUGGCUCAGUUCAGCCUGUGUAGGGCCAGCAGCCUCUGUCAGGAAGGUCAGCCUUGGAUUUCUCUUCUCUGUUGAUUCAUCAGCCUGAACCUGACAACACAAAUCCUAACUGCUACCUUGGGCAAGGGCAUACCAGUGCUAUAGAGGAGCUAAAAG